rnacentral:lncRNA from 1 species
UGAGACCACAGAGGCAGGUAUACAACUAGAGAUUCACCAGUAGUGUAAAUAUGAAAAUCUUCAUAUAUUAGAGUCUGUGGUAUCUCAUGAAUAAGUCCAAUCAUAACAUUUCUUUGCCUGCUUUCUUAUUAUGUGACUAUAAAAAGAUGUCAACAGUGCAUUUAAAUUUUCCUGCAGAGAGGAAAUAUGCAGAUCACAAUGAAGCUAUUACCCCUGUAUGCACACAAGUUGAACCUAACGGCAUUAAAAGAAAAGGACAAGCUGUGAAACGCCUAGAUUCCAGAGCAACAGACUGUGAUCCAUUCCCAACAACCCCUCCCUACCGUCUGCCACCAGUUCCCUUAAAGCAGGAAUCAGAGCUAGACUGACUCAACUAAGGUAAGAAGUGAGGCUUCAUGUGAAAAAGACUACAGCUACAAAACAAAUUCUCAAAUAUAUGUUACGUGCUAAGAUUUUGAACUUGACCCAGAAGUUUGUGGUGUACACACAAAUAGAAAUAACAUGCACACAGUCAUAUAGCUAUGUUUAAAAUUCUUUUUAGUGCUUUCCAAUUAAAAGCAUAAAUUAG